rnacentral:rRNA from 1 species
UAUGUGAUCGUCUCUCGCAUAUCAAUAAGCGGAGGAAAAGAAACUAACAAGGAUUCCCCUAGUAACGGCGAGUGAAGCGGGAAGAGCUCAAAUUUGAAAUCUUAAAGGGUUUCCCUUUACGAAUUGUAGUUUAAAGAAGUGUUUUCUGUUGAGGUUUUGGUAAAAGUUCUUUGGAAUAGGACAUCAUAGAGGGUGAGAAUCCCGUAUUUGACCUUUACUUUCAACUUUGUGAUACACUUUCAAAGAGUCGGAUUGUUUGGGAAUGCAGUCCAAAAUGGGUGGUAAAUUUCAUCUAAAGCUAAAUAUUGGCGAGAGACCGAUAGCGAACAAGUACCGUGAGGGAAAGAUGAAAAGAACUUUGAAAAGAGAGUUAAACAGUACGUGAAAUUGUCAAAAGGGAAGCGUUUGACACCAGUGUUGUUUUUCUGAAAAUCAAUUAAAGAACUGUUUAUGCUAAGUUGUUUAGACUUUAUCAGCUAACUGUUUAGUUUUGAGCUUUUCUUUAAUGCACUUUUCAGUUAGCAAGUCAACAUCAAUUUCUUUUGCUGUAAAAAAGCUUGAGGAAGGUGGCUUGAGAUUCGUCUUAAGUGUUUAUAGCCUCUUGCCUAUGCAGUCGGAGAGAUUGAGGUCUGCAGCGUAGAUCCUUCGGGGCUAAAUGCAUUUGUGCUGAGUUAUAGCAUUUUAUAGACAACUUGUUGACUAUGAUUUGUCUUGUAGCUUACUCGCUUAUGUUAUUUUACCUACGCUUAGGAUGUUGAUCUGUAGUGCGUGCGC